CACCGCGGUUAUAGGAGUAACCCUUAUUAACAUUUUACCGGCGUAAAGAGUGGUUUAAGAAUUUUUCCCUAUGAACUAAAGUUAAGACCCCAUUAAGCUGUUAUACGCCCUCAUGGGUGGAAUCACCAACAACGAAAGUA
rnacentral:rRNA from 1 species